rnacentral:rRNA from 3 species
AGAGUUUGAUCAUGGCUCAGGAUGAACGCUGGCGGCGUGCUUAACACAUGCAAGUCGAACGAUGAUGCCAGCUUGCUGGUGGAUUAGUGGCGAACGGGUGAGUAACACGUGAGUAACCUGCCCUUAACUCUGGGAUAAGCCUGGGAAACUGGGUCUAAUACCGGAUAUGACCUUCCAUCGCAUGGUGGUUGGUGGAAAGCUUUUUGUGGUUUUGGAUGGACUCGCGGCCUAUCAGCUUGUUGGUGAGGUAAUGGCUUACCAAGGCGACGACGGGUAGCCGGCCUGAGAGGGUGACCGGCCACACUGGGACUGAGACACGGCCCAGACUCCUACGGGAGGCAGCAGUGGGGAAUAUUGCACAAUGGGCGCAAGCCUGAUGCAGCGACGCCGCGUGAGGGAUGACGGCCUUCGGGUUGUAAACCUCUUUCAGUAGGGAGGAAGCGAAAGUGACGGUACCUGCAGAAGAAGCGCCGGCUAACUACGUGCCAGCAGCCGCGGUAAUACGUAGGGCGCAAGCGUUAUCCGGAAUUAUUGGGCGUAAAGAGCUCGUAGGCGGUUUGUCGCGUCUGCCGUGAAAGUCCGGGGCUCAACUCCGGAUCUGCGGUGGGUACGGGCAGACUAGAGUGAUGUAGGGGAGACUGGAAUUCCUGGUGUAGCGGUGAAAUGCGCAGAUAUCAGGAGGAACACCGAUGGCGAAAGGCAGGUCUCUGGGCAUUAACUGACGCUGAGGAGCGAAAGCAUGGGGAGCGAAACAGGAUUAGAUACCCUGGUAGUCC